GCCAGGUGUAGUGGCGCAUGCCUAUAAUCCCAGCAACUCAGGAGGCUGAGACAGGAGGAUCAAAAGUUCAAAGCUAGCCUCAGCAAAAGUGAGGCCCUAAGCAACUCAGUGAGACCCUGUCUGUA
rnacentral:sRNA from 1 species